GAGCUCAGAUUGAACGCUGGCGGCAGGCUUAACACAUGCAAGUCGAGCGGUAACAGGGGGAGCUUGCUCCCCGCUGACGAGCGGCGGACGGGUGAGUAAUGCAUAGGAAACUGCCCAGUAGUGGGGGAUAGCCCGGGGAAACCCGGAUUAAUACCGCAUACGCCCUUUGGGGGAAAGCAGGGGAUCUUCGGACCUUGCGCUAUUGGAUGUGCCUAUGUCGGAUUAGCUAGUUGGUGGGGUAAGAGCCUACCAAGGCGACGAUCCGUAGCUGGUCUGAGAGGAUGAUCAGCCACAUCGGGACUGAGACACGGCCCGAACUCCUACGGGAGGCAGCAGUGGGGAAUAUUGGACAAUGGGGGCAACCCUGAUCCAGCCAUGCCGCGUGUGUSAASAAGGCUUUCGGGUUGUAAAGCACUUUCAGUGAGGAGGAAAACCUUACGACUCAAUC
rnacentral:rRNA from 1 species